GUCUAUUUGAAGUUAUAGAAAGUCUGGCCUGCCCACUGAGAAGUAAAUUUAAGGGCCGCGGUAUUAUGACCGUGCAAAGGUAGCAUAAUCAUUAGAUUUUUAAAUGGAAUCUUGUAUGAAUGGUUGGACAAAGAAAAAGCUGUCUUUUGUUUUAAAAAUUGAAUUUUACUUUUAGGUGAGAAGGCUUAAAUGGUUUAGAGGGACGAUAAGACCCUAUAAAGCUUUACAUUAUAACUAUAUUUGGUAAAAUUUUAAUAGUAAAGUUUGGUGUAGUUUUUGUUAUGUUGGGGAGAUGAAAGUAUAAAUUAUAAUAACUGCUUGAAUUAUAUACAAUUAUAAGUGGAAAAAAAAUGAUCCUGAAAUAUAGAUUAAAAGAUUAAGUUACUUUAGGGAUAACAGUGUAAUUUUUUUUGAGAGUUCAUAUCGAAAAAAAAGUUUGCAACCU
rnacentral:rRNA from 1 species